GUCUUUUUCAGGGGAGUAGUGGUUGUGUUGCAUGGCCUGAAUGAACACAGUGGUAGAUACAGUGAUUUUGCAAAGCGUCUUACUGCUAAUGGAUUCAAGGUCUAUGGAAUGGACUGGAUUGGGGCUUGAGUAUUUCCAUUGGGAGAAGCCCAUUGGUGCCAAAAAGUAACAUUCUGAAGGUCUUCAUAAUAAGUAAGCUUACUUUUAAGCGUUUAUAGUAAGCAAGACCUGGAUAAAAAAA